GACGAACGCUGGCGGCGUGCCUAAUACAUGCAAGUAGAACGCUGAAGAGAGGAGCUUGCUCUUCUUGGAUGAGUUGCGAACGGGUGAGUAACGCGUAGGUAACCUGCCUUGUAGCGGGGGAUAACUAUUGGAAACGAUAGCUAAUACCGCAUAACAAUGGAUGACUCAUGUCAUUUAUUUGAAAGGGGCAAAUGCUCCACUACAAGAUGGACCUGCGUUGUAUUAGCUAGUAGGUGAGGUAACGGCUCACCUAGGCGACGAUACAUAGCCGACCUGAGAGGGUGAUCGGCCACACUGGGACUGAGACACGGCCCAGACUCCUACGGGAGGCAGCAGUAGGGAAUCUUCGGCAAUGGGGGCAACCCUGACCGAGCAACGCCGCGUGAGUGAAGAAGGUUUUCGGAUCGUAAAGCUCUGUUGUAAGUCAAGAACGAGUGUGAGAGUGGAAAGUUCACACUGUGACGGUAGCUUACCAGAAAGGGACGGCUAACUACGUGCCCGCAGCCGCGGUAAUACGUAGGUCCCGAGCGUUGUCCUGAUUUAUUGGGCGUAAAGCGAGCGCAGGCGGUUUGAUAGUCUGAAGUAAAAGGCUGUGGCUCAACCAUUUUCGCUUUGGAAACUGUCAAACUUGAGAAAAAAGAGGAGAGUGAAUUCGAUGCGACCCC
rnacentral:rRNA from 1 species